CCUACGGGUGGCAGCAGUGGGGAAUAUUGCACAAUGGGCGCAAGCCUGAUGCAGCCAUGCCGCGUGUGUGAAGAAGGCCUUCGGGUUGUAAAGCACUUUCAGCGGGGAGGAAGGCGUUAAGGUUAAUAACCUUGUCGAUUGACGUUACCCGCAGAAGAAGCACCGGCUAACUCCGUGCCAGCAGCCGCGGUAAUACGGAGGGUGCAAGCGUUAAUCGGAAUUACUGGGCGUAAAGCGCACGCAGGCGGUCUGUCAAGUCGGAUGUGAAAUCCCCGGGCUCAACCUGGGAACUGCAUUCGAAACUGGCAGGCUAGAGUCUUGUAGAGGGGGGUAGAAUUCCAGGUGUAGCGGUGAAGUGCGUAGAGAUCUGGAGGAAUACCGGUGGCGAAGGCGGCCCCCUGGACAAAGACUGACGCUCAGGUGCGAAAGCGUGGGGAGCAAACAGGAUUAGAUACCCCAGUAGUC
rnacentral:rRNA from 1 species